rnacentral:lncRNA from 1 species
UAUUUUUACAGUAGCGUUUAGGCUGUUCCGGACUGUUGGGUGCCGUCGGGGUUGACGGUGGACCCAUAUCGCCAUUUUGGCGUCGGAUUGUGCCGAAGGCACGUGACUGUUGGUUGUUAGACCAGUUAGUGUCGGUUACUUGGACUUUGGCUUGAAAGAGCCUGAUUUAGCUCGACACAGAUACGCUGCAUACUCGGUUGGGUAGCUCCCACGAGUGCCACUCCGGAGACGGGCGCUGUGCUUUCGCGUUGGUGUCGUGCAUACCGAUUACACUUGCUCUCCACGGACUGGUUAGUGUGGAGGUAGUUGGAUAGUCUCAACUGGGCGGGACGGGUGUGUUCACAGUCCCUGGGGCGGGUAUGUUUACAGUCCCUAAAGAGAUUGGGUCAGAAUUGACAUUUCUACAGUAGGUUAGCUUAGAGCAUGAUAGUGUAAUAAAUGGUAGCUGUAGAUUUUAUUCCGGCAUUUAUUAUUACCUUUGCUCCCUUCUGUAGACUUAGUGGGUGGACCGAUAAUGUUGAGGGCGGUACCCACUGAGGACUACUUGUUUUACAGUAGUUCUCACGCCCUAUUGUUAUCCCGUUUUUGUAGAGCCAUCGUCUUCGGCUGCUGCUGUUGCUGAUAAGGAUCGAGGCAAGGGCGUCGCGAGUUAGAGCCCUACCCGACGAGCCAAGCUAGAGGUGCCCCUACAGCAGGUAGUUGUUUU